rnacentral:rRNA from 1 species
AGUGAACGCUGGCGGUAGGCCUAACACAUGCAAGUCGAACGGCAGCACAGGAGAGCUUGCUCUCUGGGUGGCGAGUGGCGGACGGGUGAGGAAUACAUCGGAAUCUACUCUGUCGUGGGGGAUAACGUAGGGAAACUUACGCUAAUACCGCAUACGACCUACGGGUGAAAGCAGGGGACCUUCGGGCCUUGCGCGAUUGAAUGAGCCGAUGUCGGAUUAUCUAGUUGGCGGGGUAAAGGCCCACCAAGGCGACGAUCCGUAGCUGGUCUGAGAGGAUGAUCAGCCACACUGGAACUGAGACACGGUCCAGACUCCUACGGGAGGCAGCAGUGGGGAAUAUUGGACAAUGGGCGCAAGCCUGAUCCAGCCAUACCGCGUGGGUGAAGAAGGCCUUCGGGUUGUAAAGCCCUUUUGUUGGGAAAGAAAUCCAGCUGGCAAAUACCCGGUUGGGAUGACGGUACCCAAAGAAUAAGCACCGGCUAACUUCGUGCCAGCCGCCGCAGUAA